GUGCGUCCCUGCUGCGGGCACUCGGUGUUGUCUGCAUCUAGACAAUAAGGCAAAGGGACCUCACGCCAGACACAUUUAAUAAAAACACAGUUUUCUUCCGCCGGGCUCACAGCACCAGAUGGCGGGUGCUGAAUUGGCUUUGUCAGUACUGCAGACUUAAUAAUCAGUGUCGGGGCGUAGAAUUACUUCAAAUGAUAGGUUUGGUCCCUGCCACUGCUGAGGAAGAAAGCGAGUGCUGUGUAGAUUAUCGUGUGAAGGGUCUUAUGUUCGGAACAGAGGUUUCCAUUUGAACAGUUUAUUGGAAAGUCUGGGUGGGCAAAGGGGCCACGGCCAAAGAACGUGAUGCAGUUGGGGCUCAGGGCCGUACUUGCUGUGUGGGCUGCAAAUAACUCACUCACAGGUGUGUUGUUCAAGGAAUGGCUCUAUAGCUCCUUGGUCAAGCGGGACAUACGGGGCUAAGGAGACUGAAAUUCAUCUCCUUCCUUACGGGCACGACCUUCAGCCCACUGGCACAGGUGAUAGGCUUUCUUCAGAGGGAUUGCGUUAUGUAGUGUCUUUCCAAAUCACUCUGACCAUGAGACCCACUGAGCCUUGACUUUUGGCAGGUUUUGGUGAAGAGAACUAUGUCUCUGUGGCCUGGAAAAGCUGGGCCAGUGUGAGAGCAGACUGACGCUCUCCCCUGCCAGCGGAUACCAGGCUCCUUAAAUCCCUUUGCUGCACGAGGACAUCAAGAAGCUCCCCGGCCCGGUUGUGGGGAGGCUUCCACCUAACAGGGAAUUGGAGAUAACACAGGCACCAUGGUCCAUGUCAACACAUACGGGAAGGCUGAGAGGCUGGCCAUGGUUGAGUGAUGGACCGGUUGACCGGCCGAUUAACCAACAAUUCUCCGGUGGCAGCGCAUUGCUGGGACAGAGGACAGACCCACAUUCAGGAUUUUGAGCUGGCCCACCCCAACAUGUACCCCAUCCGUGACCUGCUGGAGCACGUGAAGGGACUGGCCCUGUGGAACCCUAGCCACAGGGUGGAUCUCCAUGACUCAGGACAGCAGCAGGAUCUGAGAGGAGUUUCCGUGAGGGUCCAGUAUUGAUGAUGUACCGGCCAGAGGCCUUGAGUCAGACCAACAACCCAUUGCACAACGAACGUUUGCAAGUGAAGGUGUUUGGACGAAGGGGCCUACUGUGUGACACACAGCAGCUCCCAGUGCCACUAAGGUGAAUGAGGAGGUGAUGGAAAGGAGGGAAAGAUGGAGAGGUUUGUUUUUUUUUUUAAAUUGUUCUUUCUUUUGGAUUUUUUACAUUUGUUUGAUUUUUAGUUGAUAUUCUUGUUUGUGUUUUUUUUUUGUUUUACUUUUAUUAUUUCUUUUUUGGGUUUCCCUUUGGAGGGUGUGCGGUAGGGGUGAGUGGCAGAUAUGUAGGGACUGGGGGGAUGGGUGGGUGGGAUUGAUUCGGGUGUAUGAUGUGAAAUUCCCGAAGAGUCAAUAAAAAAUUAUGCUGUUUUUUUUUCUCUCUGAAAGUACUAUUGUCUAGAGAAAACUGCAGUUGAUAUGUUUACCUUCUCAGAACAAAUGAUAAAACAUGCUUUUCUUAGUUACUAUGGAAGUGGCAAUUUGCUAGGUCAAUAAAAAUUCUUCA